GCCUCGCUCCUCAGCCUAGGCGGCUGCUUGGGCGUUUCUCCCAAGGGCAGCAAACUGCACCACCCUCCAGGAGAGUCGGAGAGUCAGUAAUAGCAGCUACUCUGCGGGGGCCUCCUGCUAAGUUAAGCACCACUUUCAACGGACCCUUCCAGUCUCUCUACCAGAGAGGCUCUGUCUUGUGACGGGGACGAUGGCUACAUCUGAAGCUGAGCAAAUUUAUUUCUUCCCUUUGUGGCAUCUGGAAGUGAAGUGAAGAUUUCCAUUUAGCGGUGUGCAGGCUUUGCCCAGGCCUCAGUGAGGGCAAAAAAAAAAGGAGACAAGUCAGCAGAGGCAUCUUGCCUUGAUGGGGAGCCCCGGCGAUGGAAAUAAAGGCAG